GACAACCUUUGAACUCACCCAGCACCAAUUCUUUGGGGGCUUCGAUUGUCAUGUCCAAUAGUCAUUAGCAUUCACAUUUUAAAGUGGGCUGCUUCAUCAAAACAUUCUGCAAGAAUUUGCGUUUCAUUCUGUUUAGUAUUUUAAUCAAGAAUAAUUUAGGCAAAUUUUAACCAAACGACCAUUAAUCCAUUUGGUUUGCAGGGGUAUUUGUUGUUGUCUGGAU
rnacentral:misc_RNA from 1 species